GAUGAACGCUGGCGGUAUGCUUAACACAUGCAAGUCGAACGGGAUAUCUUCGGAUAUUUAGUGGCGGACGGGUGAGUAACGCGUGAGAACAUGCCCUUAGGUUCGGGACAACAGUUGGAAACGACUGCUAAUACCGAAUGUGCCGAGAGGUGAAAGAUUAAUUGCCUAGGGAUUGGCUCGCGUCAGAUUAGCUAGUUGGUAGAGUAACGGUUUACCAAGGCGACGAUCUGAACUGGUCUGAGAGGAUGACCAGUCACACUGGGACUGAGACACGGCCCAGACUCCUACGGGAGGCAGCAGUGGGGAAUUUUCCGCAAUGGGCGAAAGCCUGACGGAGCAAUACCGCGUGAGGGAGGACGGCUCUUGGGUU
rnacentral:rRNA from 1 species